rnacentral:tRNA from 2 species
GGGGGUAUAGCUCAGGGUCAGAGCAUUUGACUGCAGAUCAAGAGGUCCCCGGUUCAAAUCCGGGUGCCCCCU